rnacentral:misc_RNA from 1 species
CCGAGUUUACAACUCCCAAACCCCUGUGAACAUACCACUUGUUGCCUCGGCGGAUCAGCCCACUCCCGGUAAAACGGGACGGCCCGCCAGAGGACCCCUAAACUCUGUUUCUAUAUGUAACUUCUGAGUAAACCAUAAAUAAAUCA